GCGUUGGUAGUGUAGCGGUAUCAUUCAACUCUUCCAUAAAAAGAAAACAAGUUGAGACUCGGGUUCGACUCCCGGCCUGCGCA